rnacentral:misc_RNA from 1 species
UUAAGUUCAGCGGGUAGUCCUACCUGAUUUGAGGUCAGAUCAAAAGAGUGUUCUCCAAAGGAGAGGGUUGUGAGCGGGCUCGCGCAAACCUCCUCAGCGAAACUUAUUACGCCGAUCGGGUUUACUGAUCCCACUAACGCCUUUAAGGCGAGCCGGCCAGGCCGGCAACGCCCAAAUCCAAUCACCCAACAGAGCAGAAC